CAGUCGCCGCGGUAAUACGGAGGGUGCGAGCGUUAAUCGGAAUAACUGGGCGUAAAGGGCACGCAGGCGGUGACUUAAGUGAGGUGUGAAAGCCCCGGGCUUAACCUGGGAAUUGCAUUUCAUACUGGGUCGCUAGAGUACUUUAGGGAGGGGUAGAAUUCCACGUGUAGCGGUGAGAUGCGUAGAGAUGUGGAGGAAUACCGAAGGCGAAGGCAGCCCCUUGGGAAUGUACUGACGCUCAUGUGCGAAAGCGUGGGGAGCAAACAGGAUUAGAUACCCGCGUAGUCCCUGUCUCUUAUAC
rnacentral:rRNA from 1 species